UUAUGGGAUCGAAAAUUGUGAGGAUCGAGAUUGGUUUUUUCCUGUAUUUUUUUAGCGAGGAAUUGACUAUUUGGGGAGUGCAGCAUCGUGUGAUUGUGAGUCGGUGAAAGGACAGUCACGUGUGAUUCUGGUGAGUGUUGAGGUAGAGAUGGACACGUAGCGGUGGUUUUAUUUUUUGUAUUCGUUUUCCUAGAGAUCGGCAUUGUGUGGAACCGCAUAAGGACGGUCUUUCUGCUUAUGUAGCUAUGUUGGUAGCACGACGUGGUCCAGUUUGUGCAAUCGGUAUGACAGUCGAGGGUAUGCAAGGUAGAAUGGUGUACGUAAUUGGAUCUGUGUCCCGAGAUAUGAGUAGGGAUCUGUGAGCAAGGUGGUAGCUAGAUGUUUGGAGGCAACAUAUCGUGUCUCUGGUAUUAUCAGUUAGUCCAUGUCCGGGCGUGAUCCCGUAUCACUUUGACAUGCAUUAUCUUGUAGCUUUGAAAAUUCUGCGGCUGUCCUCGCGAUGCCAGGUUUGCUAAUCACGUCGUGCUGGCCAGUUGUCCGGUUUGGAGAACGUAUCCAACCAAAGUUAAAAAGAAAAAAAUUGUGGAAAAACAAGCCUGUCCUUACGGUCAUCUUCUUCCACGGCCUACAAAUCCGAGAUGGGAACAAAGCGUAGAAGAUGACGUGGAGCCAAUAUCAUAGCAUGGGAGGAAGUAAGCUCAUGUGUUGGCCCAGAGAAUGGCUGCCUCGAGAUCUAAGAGAGAAGAAGGUGGUCGUGUACUCCCUCUCAUAUGAUGCUGAUACCGUCUAGUGGAAGGUAGGAGCAAUGCUGAAGACGUGCAAGAGAUUGACAAAGUCCUCGUCCAAAAAUUGAUCACCUGUUACGUACUUAUUGAGUUCUAGUACCGAUCUCUGAAAAUAAUUUAGCUUUGAGCAAUUCGAAACUAAAUAUUGACAAAUGAUGUCACCAACUUGGUCCAUGGCUGAAACGGUCACAUUUGUCUGCAGUAAGGAAUGAGGAUUGGAGCAGAUAAAAUCUAUCGAACUUGUGGUGCACAAUUUCAGAGGUUUGGUUCUAAAGAGCUUGAUUGUUUGACGAUAAAGGGGGAUACGAAGGCGUGCAGCCAUGGCUUCACCAAGGUCUGCUACAACAGGUGGACUUGGGUUUUGCAAUGCAGGACAAUCUCGUGGCGUGCAGAUGACAGGUCGCACAAACUCGGACAACCAAAAUGGUGCGGGAGGAAUCAUCACCAUGCGAGAAGGACGUCCAGAGGAAGAUUUAACAAUCUUUUGCGUGACAUGAGUGAGAUGGAGGGUGCCACAGACAACGAACUGGGAUCCGAUCACUUAUACACUGUCCAAAUCCCUGCCACACCAGACCACCCAAUGUCGGGAGAUCGACCGGUCCCCGGAAAGGGCAAGCAGCUUGGUGGUGUACGCGGUCCUACUUGCGCCGUCAUCAAUUGUGACGGGAAGGCGAUGCGCGACGAGCGCGGAGAAGACAUGACACCUUGUGAUUGCAACUUCAAGAUCUGCCGCGACUGCUACAUCGAUGCCCUCAACGGGUCUGGGAAAUGCCCUGGUUGUAAAGACGACUACACUGCGUCUGACGAGCCAGGUUUAGGGUUUAGGGUUUAGGGGAGGAGAAAGAGACCCAACAAAUCAUGGGCGGAGAGGCGGAAGGGAACGAGCGCAGGAGGGCGUUUGUCGUGGAUUGCAGUGCAUGCAUGCGCCCAACAAGAGGAGUGAUUGCAGUAGUGUAAGGAGGAGAGAGGUGCGGCAUGGUGCUAUUCCACGCACCAUGGAUGGAGAGUCGGAUUGAAAGGGCCGUUGUAGGGCGUUUAUCCUAGAUCGUGGUGCACGCAUGGGCCCCGUGCGAUGAAUGACUGCUGUGGUCUGAAGAGGGAAGAGGUGCGGCAUGGCUUUAUUCCACGCCAAUUCGACCAGGUUGCUCAUCUAAUGUGGCCGGUUCGAAACCUGGUUGCCAUUAGAAAUGGCAAGCCGCAAUCAGGGGUCACACUCGCAACCAUUUUUUUCCUUCUCUACGGCCGGCUUCUCUUCCUCUACGAUUGCUGGUCCUGCCUCUAAUCGUUUUUCUUUUCCUCUGUCCCGCGCGUCUCUUCUUCUUCGCUUGCUGGCGCUGCUCCUUUGUUUCACGCGUCUCCCUUUUCUUGCAGUGCUCUCAAUCAACGCUCGUAACAUCUUUGUCUGUGCUGGUCUCCUCCAUGUCCGCGCUCCAGUCCCCCUUUGUGUGCGCUGCUCCCUUCCCUAUUUUGGGUUCAGGGUUGCAUGUGAUGUAGGUGGAACAAUUGCACAAGAUUUUUAAAUUGUGGGAUUCUCCAUCCGAGGAGUUUCAAGUCAAAAUUGCCGCAUGCGACGAUAUUCAAGCAUCAACAACCAUAUAAGCGAUGUCCUAAUGAGGUGUUUAAAGAAUUUCCAGUAUCUUCUCUUACUUUGCUGGACACUCUUUUGGCCAUCGAACCUGCGGAUUGUGGAAGCGCUACUCGAGCUUUAGCCAGCGAGUUCUUCACGACGAAGCCUCUUGCUUGUGACCAAGUUUAUUUCCCGUGCUACACCCCUCAACGAUGCAACUGGUUCAUUUUGCAGUUUGCGUCAUGGAUAAUCGACGUGCUAUUUUUCAGCAUAGAGUGAACUCCAGAAUAAAAUUCGAGAGAUCUCUUGGCUUUAGUGGCCAUGGAUUGAGAGGCUACAUGGGCAGCGACUGUUUUUCAUAAUUGCGUACCUCUUUUUCACACUUUGGAAGUCUGUCUUUCUUGUAGUUGGUUGUCGACCUCCUUCAUACUGUUCGGCCCGCUUCAUAUCUUGCUUCAUAUCUUGCGUUGGUCAAAAAAGAGUUGAUGCAAAUUAUUUUUUUUAUUGCAGCUUACGGAACACACUCUGCGUGCGUUUCAAAAGUGAGGUUGUUGCGUGUGCACUAAUUUAUGCUGCGGCUUCCAGGCAUGAACUCGAAGUCUCUGACUAUCGACAAUUUUCACGUUGCUUGUUUUCCACAUCGAACCCUCCGCCACUGUCGCUGUUGCAGACAUUACGCGGUGCAGUCAAAGUAGAAAAACGAAGGAAAAAAGCUCUGAAAGCUGCAAGAAUUUGUCCAAGGUUGGACAUUGCUCGAGGAAAUCCUUCAUUGUGGAUCCGAAGUCAGGUUCCGUGAUCGAGCAAGACCAAGGUGACCUGAAUCUCCAACAUUUGAACGUCAGCCAGAACUCAGCAGGGAGCCUAACACCUGCAUGUGAAGAACCGUGUCAAUUGCGAGUUUGUCUUGUGGAGCCGAUCAAGGACGAGAACUUGGCCAUGCUGGUCCAAAACUUUUUCCUUGCCGGUAUGGCAACUUACUUCCUAGCCUUCAGCUUGCAAUGGCAGAUGGCUACUUGUGGUGCUCGCCAUCUUCCCACUCCAAGCAUUCGCUGCCACAUGGAUCAAAUGUUCUUAAUAAGACUUUAGGAGAUGUUGUAGCGCCGAGAUUUGGGCGAGGAUUGACUUGGGACUUUAGGAGAUGUUGUAGCGCCGAGAUCUAGGCGAGGAUUGAUUUGAGACUUUGAAAGAUGCUGUAGCGCCGAGAUCUGGGCGAGGAUUGACUGACAAGAGGGGAGAAAUUGAAUAAAAUCGUCCUGUACAAUAGUCAGCAAGAUUUUUUUAAAAGAGUCUGCCAAUGAAGAGGGGUUUCUUAUUCGUGGGCAAGUCGCAUGCAUUGGCUAUGGUGUCUCCCAGCUCUGCCUCUGCGGCUCUUACGGAAGAUCAACUUCAAAAGCUUACGUAGGCGAAUCGCUCUCGUCUUCCAGAAACCAAUGUUGUUUGCAACAACAAUAUAGGAGAACAUCCUAUACGGAUGCAAGAUGAUCACCGAGCAGGAGGUUCACGCUGCGGCGAUGGCGGCCAAUGUACACAACUUCAUCAGUGCAUUGCCUGCCAGAAUUGUUUCCGGGUUUGUGGGAUUCAGGACAAGCUCUUGUCAUCCUGGGAGGUCAAAAAAGGAGAGUAUGAGAAUCUACUUUCAGAAUUCCACAACAAAGACCGAGCUAUGCAAGAGCUUGAAGAAGCGCACCAACUUUGAGCUCAGCACACAAGUAGAUGUAGAAUUUUAGGGGUGGAUCCUGGUGGAGUCUUAAACAAUUGAUACUCUGGAAUUUCAAAACCUGAAAUUACAAGCCAUGUAUUGAAGUAGAUGCCGGUUUGAUAGUCAUUUGUUCUAACACAGUUAGGAUUGCCAAAAUACUAAGGAGCUUUACCCAAAAUCUGAUCGGGAGGUAACAUUCCGUCCUUUUAGCAGGUGACCUCAUGCCUGCUAAUAUUUGUUCAACUUUAAUAACAAGGUGCUAUUUUCUACCCA